rnacentral:rRNA from 1 species
GCGUGAGUGAAGAAGGCCUUCGGGUUGUAAAGCUCUUUCAGGUGGAAAGAAAACUUCCGGGUGAAUACCCCGGGAGGCUGACGGUACCAUCAGAAGAAGCACCGGCUAACUACGUGCCAGCAGCCGCGGUAAUACGUAGGGUGCGAGCGUUAAUCGGAAUUACUGGGCGUAAAGCGUGCGCAGGCGGUUAUGUAAGACAGAUGUGAAAUCCCCGGGCUCAACCUGGGAACUGCGUUUGUGACUGCAUAACUAGAGUACGGCAGAGGGAGGUGGAAUUCCGCGUGUAGCAGUGAAAUGCGU